ACAUAUAUUUAAUACUUUAUAGAGGUGUUCAAACGAAUUUUAGGGUGGGAUCUAAAGAUGGCCUUAAAGGAGAAACAAACGUGAGAACUGGAAGGCCUAGGCCUUUUUCCAAAUUAAGCCCAGGAGUAGAUGUCGGAAAUGUCGAAAAGGCCCAUCUACAGUAUACACACCGUCUCUCUCGGAAGUCUGGAAGCAAGCGAAGCUCCGGUUUCAAGCGGCGGAGCGCCGCCGCCGGCAACCGCCGUGACGCCAUGAUUCACCUCCGGAGGUGCGUCCUUUCUCGCCUCCUCCAGCCACCGUGCCUCACCGCCGCCACGCACGCCAAUUCCCUCCUCUCCCUCCACCUCCGCCGCCUCCUCUCCGGCGCCGCCGAACCCUUCGCCGUCGAGGACUACCUCGUGGAGUCCUGCGGCCUGACGAGAGCCCGCGCGGAGAAGGUCUCCGGGAAGCUCUCCCACCUCAGGUCCCCCUCCAAGCCCGACGCCGUCCUCGCCAUCCUCUCCGGCCUCGGCCUCACGCGCCCCGACAUCGCCGCCGCCGUCGCCUCCGACCCAAGGCUGCUGUGCGCCCGUGUGGACAGGACGCUGGAUGCCCGCGUCGCCGAGCUCGGCGGCAUCGGCCUCUCCCGCUCCCAGAUCGCGCGCCUCAUCCCGCUCGCUCGCGGCGGAUUCCGCAUCAAGUCUCUUGGUUCAAAGCUCGCCUUCUUGGUCACAGUAUUUGGCUCAUUCGACAGGUGCCUGGAGGUUGUCAGGAUGAACUGUGGGCAAUUAAGCCGGGAACACGUCUAUUUGCUCUCGCAGUUGUGAAGUUUGCAAUCCUCAGCCAGGGGAAGAUCACCAAGAAAUCAGGGCUGUUUAAGAAGCUUGGAUGGUCACAGGAAGAUUUGUCAUUAGCAGCGAAGAACAUGCCAAGUAUCCUUGCCAUGGGUGAGAAAAGGUUGAGGCAAAGAAUGAAGUUCUUGACGGAGGAUGUUGGUCUAGAGAUACCAUACAUUGCACAAAGGCCUGCACUCAUGUUUUAUAGCAUUGAGCGCCGCUUAUUGCCAAGGCAUUGCUUGAUCAAUGUUCUCAAGAGGAACGGAUUGCUUAAGAUCAAUUAUGACUUCUAUUCUACUGCCUUGAUUAGCAAUGAGAAAUUUCUGGAUAAAUUCGUGCAUCCUUAUGUGGAGAGUGUUCCAGGCAUUGGUGAUGCCUAUGCUUCUAGCUGUGCUGGAUGUGGAGUGGACCAGUUGAAGCUGUUAUCGAAGAAUAAGAUAAUGUGCUGAAGCUUCUUCUAUUAACACCCACAAGCUGGGACAAUUUUUAGGUUAGUUAUCAGUUUGGUUUUUUUACUUCUAGAGCCAAACGAAAUUGAGCUUUGCUCUCGACAAGCCAAACUGAGAUUCAGGUCUCGAUUAAGGAUGUCACUAUGCCAAUCAAAGACUGAACUUUCUAUUAAAUGGAUUUAUCUAUAAAUCUUUAUGAAGUGAGCUGACGUAUUUUCUAGCACUAAGUCGAUUGAAUUGUUAUAGUUCUGUCACUGUUGCUCUGAUUUAUAUGGCUCAGCAACAGUGUUUAAUAUUUAGGGAUCAAACUCUCUUGUUUUUUCUGUUGCCUUGUUCCUUAGUUAUGUGAGGUAAAUUUGAUUUAGUUUAUAUGUUCUGGGAAACUCACUGUUGCAAA